rnacentral:tRNA from 1 species
CAAUUUAAAGCUUAUUAAGUAAAGUAUUUCAUUUACAUUGAAAUGAUAAUUGUGCAAAUCAAUUUAAAUUGA